GACGUAGGUGGCGAACGUUAUCCGGAAUUAUUGGGCGUAAAGGGUGCGUAGGCGGCUUGAUAAGUUAUUGGCGGGAAAUCGAGGCUCAACCUCGUGGAAACUAAUAAUACUGUUUUGCUUGAGUACAGGAGAGGUUAACGGAACUCCAUGUGGAGCGGUAAAAUGUGUAGAUAUAUGGAAGAACAUCAAUAACGGCGAAGGCAGUUAACUAUUCUGUUACUGACGUUGAGGCACGAAAGCGUGGGGAGCAAAACGG
rnacentral:rRNA from 1 species